rnacentral:rRNA from 1 species
GAGUCAUUGGGUUCGCACUAAACCUAAAGGCGUAAUGAAAGUGAAGGUCCGCCUCGCGCGGGCCUAGGGAGGAUGGGUCUGCCCCCGGGCCGGCCCCGCACUCCCGGGGCGUCUCGUUCUCAUCGCGAGAAGAGGCGCACCCAGAGCGUACACGCUGGGACCCGAAAGAUGGUGAACUAUGCCUGGUCAGGACGAAGUCAGGGGAAACCCUGAUGGAGGUCCGUAGCGAUUCUGACGUGCAAAUCGAUCGUCGGAACUGGGUAUAGGGGCGAAAGACUAAUCGAACCAUCUAGUAGCUGGUUCCCUCCGAAGUUUCCCUCAGGAUAGCUGGCGCUCGCCGUGCGCGAGUCUCAUUCGGUAAAGCGAAUGAUUAGAGGCAUUGGGGUCGAAACGGCCUCAACCUAUUCUCAAACUUUAAAUGGGUGAGAUCUCCGGCUUGCUUGAAUGUGAAGCCGCGAGAUAUCGGAUCAGAGUGCCAAGUGGGCCACUUUUGGUAAGCAGAACUGGCGCUGUGGGAUGAACCAAACGCCGAGUUAAAGCGCCAAAAUCGACGCUUAUGGGAUACCAUGAAAGGCGUUGGUAACUUAAGACAGCAGGACGGUGG